rfam:Gasterosteus aculeatus cont1.001874, whole genome shotgun sequence.
UUAAAAGUGUAAUGUAAGUCGCUUUGGAUAAAAGCGUCUGCUAAAUUACGUGUA